GUGUCAUUGUAAAGUGCUUUUAAUUCGAUGUUGGUUCUGAUCCAAUACUGGUUUGUGUUAAUGUCGUGGUGAGGUCCGAAAAUUUUUCUAAAUAUUUUUCGUUCAAAACGUCUUAGCCUUUCUUCGUUUGAUUCCCAGAUAGCAUGUAAACUUGUGGCAAGUUUGAUUUUUCAUUGCUGCGGCAAAUAUGACGAGGCAAGUUUGUGACAAGUUUGCUGCAAUAUUGUUAUGACAAAGAUGAUUAUUCAAGUUUGUAGCAACUUUGCUUCAAGCUUAGCUUCGAUUCGGUUUUCGUUCGGCGCCCCGACUGAUGUCCCGCCCACGACAACGAAAGUGUUGCCACCCGGAGGGAAAUUUCUGUGUUUGCGAGAAUUUUCAACAUACAAUUGAAAAAGUUAUCUCAAAAGGGAAUUUUUGCUCCAGUCCAAAUUACACAAUAUUUAAAAAAAUCAAAAUAUUUGAGAAAGUGAGAAUUUUUAAGUUAAGUUUAGGGAAAAAGCUUACUCGAUGGCUGGCAACACGGGAAAAAUAAUGCGUAAAAACUAUGCGUACUGUACGCGCCAGUACGCGGUGAUAGUUUGUUGUGGUUUGUGGUUAUGUUGAUAUUUUUCUUCAAGUUUUUUACAACUUAAAUUUUCCGUACAAUUCUCCGAGAUUAUUACCUUAAUUAUUAUUACUAAGCUGAAGCCUAUUUUCUUCAUUGUUAAUAGACCAAACUGCAUGCUUACUGCAUUACAGAUUAGUACAUUCUCAUUUUGCUCUGGUCAACUCUGGUGGCAUUGAGGUAGAGAGCUGAUAGACAAAACCAAGCAUCGGAAUCUGAAGCUAGGGUGUUUAAUGUAAGUUCCAAUGAAUAAUUUUAUACAAUAGAUUGUAUUUUAGUCGAGUGAUUAAUAAAUAGUUAUAUAAAAUGGUA
rnacentral:lncRNA from 1 species